UGGGGAAUAUUGCACAAUGGGGGAAACCCUGAUGCAGCGACGCCGCGUGGAGGAAGAAGGUCUUCGGAUUGUAAACUCCUGUUGUUGGGGAAGAUAAUGACGGUACCCAACAAGGAAGUGACGGCUAACUACGUGCCAGCAGCCGCGGUAAAACGUAGGUCACAAGCGUUGUCCGGAAUUACUGGGUGUAAAGGGAGCGCAGGCGGGCAGACAAGUUGGAAGUGAAAUCCAUGGGCUCAACCCAUGAACUGCUUUCAAAACUGUAUGUCUUGAGUAGUGCAGAGGUAGGCGGAAUUCCCGGUGUAGCGGUGGAAUGCGUAGAUAUCGGGAGGAACACCAGUGGCGAAGGCGGCCUACUGGGCACCAACUGACGCUGAGGCUCGAAAGUGUGGGUAGCAAACAGGAUUAGAUACCCUGGUAGUCCACACCGUAAACGAUGAUUACUAGGUGUUGGAGGAUUGACCCCUUCAGUGCCGCAGUUAACACAAUAAGUAAUCCACCUGGGGAGUACGACCGCAAGGUUGAAACUCAAAGGAAUUGACGGGGGCCCGCACAAGCAGUGGAGUAUGUGGUUUAAUUCGACGCAACGCGAAGAACCUUACCAAGUCUUGACAUCCCUUGACGAUGCUGGAAACAGUAUUUCUCUUCGGAGCAAGGAGACAGGUGGUGCAUGGUUGUCGUCAGCUCGUGUCGUGAGAUGUUGGGUUAAGUCCCGCAACGAGCGCAACCCUUAUGGUCAGUUACUACGCAAGAGGACUCUGGCCAGACUGCCGUUGACAAAACGGAGGAAGGUGGGGAUGACGUCAAAUCAUCAUGCCCUUUAUGACUUGGGCUACACACGUACUACAAUGGCGUUAAACAAAGAGAAGCAAGACCGCGAGGUGGAGCAAAACUCAGAAACAACGUCCCAGUUCGGACUGCAGGCUGCAACUCGCCUGCACGAAGUCGGAAUUGCUAGUAAUCGCAGAUCAGCAUGCUGCGGUGAAUACGUUCCC
rnacentral:rRNA from 1 species